CUCGAGUUUUACAACAUUAUAGUCAAAUCCUCACAUGGAACUUUCAGAUAAGAAAUAAAAGUAUAUAAAUCCCAAAGAUCAAAACAAAUUUGUAUAACAUUCAUCUACAAUUACUCAUCUUCCAAUCUGUCAACAAAAAUACUUCAAAAUUCAAAUCCAGAUUCUAUAUAUUGAAUAAAGUCAGUCAGACAGGCUAAAAAUGGGGGAAUAAGAGGACAGACUGGUUUAGCAGAAAUUGAAUUUUUUUUUUUUUUUUUCAAAGUGUCCAAAUAUGCUUUGACACGUGUCCACCAUGUUUUUAUCAUGUUUUUCAGCCUAUCUCUAUAGCAUUAUUGAUAUUGUUCUAUAUUUCAUGGGUAUUGCCUGUGACUUUGGACAUAACGAAAAGGCAUUUAUAAUAGAAUAGUACCCAUAGAAUACGACCUUUUCCCUUGUCUGGCUCAGGAAAGAUUACGGGCUUGCCGAGAUAUUCCAGAUAUUAUGUUGUAGUACUUGUCCCCAUCUCCAGAAGAAUGAGUUUUUUGGUUUCUUCAUUCAGCAACCCUAAACCUAGGAUCUGAUGCAAUUGCAGUACUAAUAUUAUUAUUUCCUUCACCUUUGGAGAGUAAUUCUUCAACUAGUUUAUGGCCAGGAAAAAUCUGGUUAAAAAGAAUAUUUCCAUUCAAAGAAUAACCCAAAUUUUCUAGUGAACGUGAAGAGCUAGCACCAGUAUUGUUUCUGAGGACAACUCCCUUUGAAGGAUCAAGAUUAGGGUUUAUGUAAUUUCCUAGGUUUGGAACAUAUGGAAAUGGUGGAAACGUCAUAUGAGGGCUGGUGUAAUAUGGGAAAUUUGUUUGGUUUAAGGUAGUAAUUUCAUUACACAUGUAGGAGGCUACUGUUGAUGCCAUUGCUGUUGCACCUACUGGAAGUGGAUGAUUGUGUGCUCCUUCAUAUGUUGUGAUAAGUAUUGACUUAUCCUCCAAACACCUUUG
rnacentral:lncRNA from 1 species